rnacentral:tRNA from 1 species
UGGGAUGUAGCUCAGUGGUAGAACACUUACCUGGCAUGUGUGAGGCAUUGGGUUUGAUUCUUAGCAUCUCAU